rnacentral:rRNA from 1 species
AUUGAACGCUGGCGGCAGGCCUAACACAUGCAAGUCGAGCGGGGGACGGGUGAGUAACACGUGGGUAACCUCCCAUCAGAGGGGGUAACACUUGGAAACAGGUGCUCAACCGAUCCUGAUGGAUGGACCCGCGGUGUAUUAGCUAGUUGUGGAGGAACCGGCCCACCAGGGCGGCGAGGCCUAGCCGACCUGAGAGGCUGAUCGGCCACACUGGGACUGAGCCACGGCCCAGACUCCUACGGGAGGCAGCAGUGGGGAAUCUUCGGCAAUGGACGAAAGUCUGACCGAGCAACGCCGCGUGAGUGAAGAAGGUUUUCGGAUCGUAAAACUCUGUUGGUAGAGAAGCGGUAUCUAACCAGAAAGCCACGGCUAACUACGUGCCAGCAGCCGCGGUAAUUC